UCCGAGUUGACCCCGGCAGUCUCCUAUGAGUCCCCACCAUUACGUGCUGGCAACAUAGAACGAGGGUUGCGCUCGUUGCGGGACUUAACCCAACAUCUCACGACACGAGCUGACGACAGCCAUGCACCACCUGUACACCGACCUUGCGGGGCGACUGUUUCCAGCCGUUUCCGGUGUAUGUCAAGCCUUGGUAAGGAUCUUCGCGUUGCAUCGAAUUAAUCCGCAUGCUCCGCCGCUUGUGCGGGCCCCCGUCAAUUCCUUUGAGUUUCAGUCUUGCGACCGUACUCCCCAGGCGGAGUGCUUAAUGUGUUGACUUCGGCACAGCAGGGGUCGAUACCCGCUACACCAAGCACUCAUCGUUAACGGCGUGGACUAC
rnacentral:misc_RNA from 1 species